GUCGCAGCCCGGCCUAGGAGGUAGAUAGCUAGACCAGGUAUCAUACGACUAGGGUGGAGAAACGAGAGAUGGAAAGUAAUUGAAAGGAAACUAAGACAAUUAAAUAAUUAACAACUUACAUACAUAAUCAAUGAAUUUCACAAGGUUCGGCAUCAUCAAACUUUAACAAAAGAAGUUUAAAACCAAAUAAACAUCAUAACCAAGAUUUGUCAAGCUCAUAUACAGGUUAAGGUUUUUAAAACAUUCUACAACACGGCAAAAGUGAUAAGAGAGACAAAGUGUUGCAGCGGAGUACAUCAUUGGACAUUAUGUAUGAAGACACAAUAUCCUGAGCCUAUUACUAUUUACAUAACAAAAAAAAACUCCAGCUCAGCACACUUCCAUCUUCAUCCAAACUUAACCUGCACAUUUAAAAAGAUAUGCAGGGCUGAGUACCACAAGCACUCAGUGAACAUAUGCCGAAAACAUUUAAAACUCUGCAUGAUAAUGCUAUAUAUUGAACUUGCCACUUUAAGCAAUACACAAGGGAUUUUCUGAAGCAACCUGUGUUUGCUAAACUGUUUUUACAUAGUAUUUGAAAGUGUCUGCGCAGACUAAGUUCUCAUGUAAGUAUGUACCAUAUCUACUAGUCUCAAUAAACACGUUGAGAAGUAGGCCUCCUUCCCAAACGUAACGACAAGCUAACUCAAGGUUAACCGUCACUCUGUGUACACAAAUCCUGACUCGCUCAGGACCCGAAUUCGUUCUUCUAUGUAGAUGGUAUCAUACAAAUCUUAAACAUUGGCAAGUCAACAAUUUGAAAAUAAAUGCAUACACUUAAACUUUAUAUAUAUAAGUAUGCAUCUUUGUUUCUUGAGUUAGUAAGCCCACCUGAUAUGUUUCUCUUACUUCGUACUCUAGUGUCGGGCUCGUUCCUAGCCGGAACCUUUAAAUAGAUAAAAAUUUCGUAAGAAAAAUAAGUAAGUAAAAUAUAUAUAUCUAAUACUAUAACAAUAACUCAUGUUUGCUAUUCACUUACUAUCCUAACAUUUCCUCACAUCAUAUCAUCAAUACAAUAACAUCACUCAGUCCUCUUAACUCAAUAAGGAAAAGAAUAAGCUCGUAGAUGUUUGCCAAUUCUCAAUGAACAGAUACAUAUUUAGUUUAAUAAACUAACUCUAUCAAUCUCCUCAAUCUCUUUGAAAUAAAAUCUCAAUGAUCUCAAUUUAAACUCAAUUAUUAAAGUCACUAAUCUCAUCCAUAUGCAUAAAAAUAGAAACUUUAUCAAUUCCCUGCUCUUUAUACUAUAGAGCUGUAUAAAAGAAUUGGGUAGUAGGGCUGUUCUAAUCUCCAUAAUUAAUAAAAUCACAUCAUAAUAUACAUAUCUCCAUCAAACAAUAGCAUAUAAACCUUCUCAAUUCAAAAGCCCUAACUUCCCCUAAACUAACAAAGUCAAUCUCACAACCAUAGAGUGCAAACUCAUAAUAUACUCACAUAUAACAUAAUUCCAGCUCAAGAACUCAUAUAUGAACUCAUUUAUUCAAGAACAUAAUCAGAAUUUUCGAACUCAAACCUAGGGUUUAUACUAACUUGAGUAAAAUCAAAAAUCAAGUAACAAUUACUGCAAUUAACCACCACAAUCAUGCUUAGGAAUCAUCAGAAACCUAAUAUAUAUCAAUAUUAGAAUCAUACUUCAACUCUAGAAUAUAAUCCCCAAAUUUUUCGAAGAACCCUAGAAUUCAAAGAAUAAACUUUCUCCAAGCUAGAAUUAUAGGAAAACAGAGAAUCGAAGAAAUUCACCUUUUUCUUUCAAGAUGUUGAAGUUAUCACUUGAAAUCUCUCUACGAAUUUAUCUUGAAAGAAGGAAAUGGCUGUUCUUAUUUUGGAACAGAAAAGAAAAGUCGGCUGUUUUGAGGAUGAAGAAAAAUGAAGAUAUCUUUCCUCAAUUCUAAAUAAUAUAAUGAUAAGUUAUCCCAUUACUAUUCUUUCCUCA
rnacentral:lncRNA from 1 species